rnacentral:rRNA from 1 species
GGGGAAUAUUGCACAAUGGGGGAAACCCUGAUGCAGCGACGCCGCGUGGAGGAAGAAGGUCUUCGGAUUGUAAACUCCUGUUGUUGAGGAAGAUAAUGACGGUACCUAACAAGAAAGCACCGGCUAACUACGUGCCAGCAGCCGCGGUAAAACGUAGGGUGCAAGCGUUGUCCGGAAUUACUGGGUGUAAAGGGAGCGCAGGCGGGAAGACAAGUUGGAAGUGAAAACCAUGGGCUCAACCCAUGAAUUGCUUUCAAAACUGUUUUUCUUGAGUAGUGCAGAGGUAGAUGGAAUUCCCGGUGUAGCGGUGGAAUGCGUAGAUAUCGGGAGGAACACCAGUGGCGAAGGCGGUCUACUGGGCACCAACUGACGCUGAGGCUCGAAAGCAUGGGUAGCAAACAGGAUUAGAUACCCUGGUAGUCCAUGCCGUAAACGAUGAUUACUAGGUGUUGGGGGAUUGACCCCCUCAGUGCCGCAGUUAACACAAUAAGUAAUCCACCUGGGGAGUACGCCGGCAACGGUGAAACUCAAAGGAAUUGACGGGGGCCCGCACAAGCAGUGGAGUAUGUGGUUUAAUUCGAAGCAACGCGAAGAACCUUACCAGGUCUUGACAUCGUAUGCUAUCUGUAGAAGUACAGAGUUCUCUUCGGAGACGUACAGACAGGUGGUGCAUGGUUGUCGUCAGCUCGUGUCGUGAGAUGUUGGGUUAAGUCCCGCAACGAGCGCAACCCUUAUGUUUAGUUGCUACGCAAGAGCACUCUAGACAGACUGCCGUUGACAAAACGGAGGAAGGUGGGGAUGACGUCAAAUCAUCGUGCCCCUUAUGACCUGGGCUACACACGUACUACAAUGGCCGUUAACAGAGGGCAGCGACACCGCGAGGUGAAGCGAAUCUCCAAAAACGGUCUCAGUUCAGAUUGCAGGCUGCAACCCGCCUGCAUGAAGAUGGAAUUGCUAGUAAUCGCGGAUCAGAAUGCCGCGGUGAAUACGUUCCUG